UUUUUUGGGCGAAGCUGAGAAUUUAAGCCCCAGUAAACGGCGGUGGUAACUAUAACCAUCCUAAGGUAGCGAAAUUCCUUGUCGGGUAAGUUCCGACCUGCACGAAUGGAGUAACGACUUCCCUACUGUCUCAACCAUGAACUCGGCGAAAUUGCAGUACGAGUAAAGAUGCUCGUUUCGCGCAGCAGGACGGAAAGACCCCGUGACCUUUACUAUAGUUUGGUAUUGGUGUUUGGUUUGGCUUGUGUAGGAUAGGUGGGAGACUGUGAAGCAUGGACGCUAGUUUGUGUGGAGUCGUUGUUGAAAUACCACUCUGGUCAAUCUGGAUGUCUAACUUCGGGCCAUGAUCUGGUUCAGGGACAGUGCCUGAUGGGUAGUUUAACUGGGGCGGUUGCCUCCUAAAGUGUAACGGAGGCGCCCAAAGGUUCCCUCAGCCUGGUUGGCAAUCAGGUGUUGAGUGUAAGUGCACAAGGGAGCUUGACUGUGAGACUGGCAGGUCGAGCAGGGACGAAAGUCGGGACUAGUGAUCCGGCGGUACGUUGUGGAACGGCCGUCGCUCAACGGAUAAAAGGUACCUCGGGGAUAACAGGCUGAUCUUGCCCAAGAGUCCAUAUCGACGGCAUGGUUUGGCACCUCGAUGUCGGCUCGUCGCAUCCUGGGGCUGGAGUCGGUCCCAAGGGUUGGGCUGUUCGCCCAUUAAAGCGGUACGCGAGCUGGGUUCAGAACGUCGUGAGACAGUUCGGUCCCUAUCCGCUGCGCGCGUUGGAAAUUUGAGAAAGGCUGUCCUUAGUACGAGAGGACCGGGACGGACGAACCUCUGGUAUGUCAGUUGUACCGCCAGGUGCAUGGCUGAUUGGCUACGUUCGGGAGGGAUAACCGCUGAAAGCAUCUAAGCGGGAAGCCUGUUUCGAGAUGAGAUUUCCUGGCACUUU
rnacentral:rRNA from 1 species